rnacentral:lncRNA from 1 species
AUGAUAGGCAACGAACAAGGAAUAUUAGAAGUACGGGGGUAGAAAAAAGAAUCCAAUUCUUAUUCAAUCGUUGUCCAGCACUCUCAAUGAUUGACACGUAGUUGAUGUACGAUGAUAUGCCGAGAAGGAUUAGUGCCACUGCUAUGAUUAGGAGCACUGGAUAUGGUAACGGACUCAGAGUGAAUGAAUCAAAGAUACUGCGUCUUCUGUACAUCUUCGCAUGUGGUCUUUUGGUUUUUUGGUGAUUAAUAGGGUUUGAAGCUUUUAUGUCAAGUUUGAGGUGUGGGGAAUUUAUAGCAACAAAAAGUUGGUGUUUGAUUUGGUGGGUCGCCAACUAGAGAAGUAUGUUGAGUUGGGUGAUUUGUGAUCCUUGUGUUCUUGAUUGACUUGAUAUCAUGAGCACCAUUAUUUUUUUAUUUUUGGGAAUAAAAUUAGAUUCAAACGAUGAGUUAAGUUUCAUAUAUUUAAUUGGUCCGGCUGGCUGUGAAAUUUCAUCCAGCCCCUCAUAGUCGAAGUUAUUUAAAUUAUAUUUAUUAAUAUUAUAAAACUUUCUGUAAAUGGAAAAUGUCGUUUAACCUCUUACACUCAAUUUUAUUUUAUUGAAACUCUAGAGUACGAAUUCGCCCUCUAUAAUUUUAAAUUCUCAAAAUAACCUCAUUUAAUUAAAUAAUUUAAUUAUUAUUAAUUGAAUUAUAAUUAUAAUUAUAAUUUUAUUAUAAUCAUAAAUAUAUUUAUAUUUUUAAAUAGAUUAUUUUUAUUAUUAAUAACAAGAAUAAAAAGUAUUACAAUUAAUUAAUCUAUUAACAAUAAUUAAUAAUAAUUUUUAUUAAAUUGUUAAUAAUAAUAAUAAUAAUUAACGAUAAUUAUUAUUAAUAAUUAAUUGUUGAAUAAUAAUAACAAUAAUUAAAAUACAAAAUAAUAAUUAUGAUAAAAAUUAAUUAAGGAUUUUAUAACAAUUGGUUAUAAUUUAACUCAUUUUGAUUUUAAUUCUAAGACAAAAUAAACACAUAAAUAAUAAUACAACUCAUUCUAAUUAUGAUUUCUUCAGUUCAAGUAAAUAAAUUAAAAUAAUAAUAAUAAUUAUUAUUAUUUAAUAAUAUAUUUUCUCAAAUAUUUAUUUUUAAUUUACUUUUUUUCUAACAACCAAUAUAUUUUCAUUGAGUUAAAAUUGAUCUACAUCUUAUUCUAUUGUAAGAUUUUACAAAACAUGUUUAUUUUCAAAAGUUAAAAAAAUCUACACAUACUCUCUCUCUCUCUAGAAAACGUUUCAGAGAAAAAUAAAUAAAUAAAUAAAAUAACAUUAUAAUUUAUUUACUUGAACUGAAGAAAUCGUAAUUAGAAUAAGUUGUAUUACCAUUUAUGUGUUUAUUUUAUUUUAGAAACAAAGUCAGAAUGAGUUAAAUUGUAAACCAAUUGCUAUAAAAUCCUUAAUUAAUUUUUAUUAUAAUUAUUAUUGUUAUUAUUAUUCAAAAAUUAAUUAUUAAUAAUAAUUAUCGUUAAUUAUUAUUAUUAUUAACAAUUUAAUAAAAAUUAUUAUUAAUUAUUGUUAAUAGAUUAAUUAAUUGGAAUACUUUUUAUUCUUGUUAUUAAUAAUAACAAUAAUCUAUUUAAAAAAUAUAAAUAUAUUUAUGAUUAUAAUAAAAUAAUAAUUAUAAUUAUAGUUCAAUUAAUAAUAAUUAAUUUUUUAAUUAAAUGAGAUUAUUUUGAGAAUUUAAAAUUAUAGGGGUGCAUUCGUACUCUAGGGUUUCAAUAAAAUAAAAUUGAGUGUAAGGGGUUAAACGAAAUUUUUUAAAUCAGAAAGUUUUAUAAUAUUCAUGAAUAUAAUAUAACUAACAUCAAAUAUAGGGUGCUGGAUGAAAUUUCACAAUCAGGCCGUAAGUUAUGAAAUUUCACAUUAUUUUUCUUUUUCUUUUUCUUUUUCUUUUAAAAAAAUUAAAAGAAAAAAAAAAAGAAAAGAAACCUUAUUUUUCAAACUGAUUAUAACGAGGAAAGAAAAUAAAUAAAAUACAAGAAGUGGAGGCAAUUUGAUGGUCCUACUAAUAAUAUAGGCUCAUAAUGAGGGCUAUUAAUUUUCCAAAAAUAAUAAUGUAAUAAUAAUUAGGGCUGUUGAAAGCCAGUCCACCACUGCUUGCCAACUCCACAUCCCACUUUGUCUUUAGCUUACAAAAUAUCUUUCACAGGACGCGUUUUAGACGAUAGAAUAGAAGAUGCCAUCAUUUUCAAUUACUUCAUAAUAUUUGAUUAAAAAUAAAUCAAAAAAUGAUAAUAACAUAUUUUAUAAAUAGUUGAUGUAAUACCUAAAGUUGGAUAAGAUCAGGAUUAGGGGAUCUUGACUAAGUAUUAAAUGCUCUCAACCAAUUACUUUUCGUCCAACGGGGAAUUUCUACUCUCAUUGUUAAAAGGAAUUGUGAGGAUAGAAAUUCAAGUUCAUAUAAAUUUAAAAUUUUUUUAAUUAAGUAUUAUGUAUGAUUGUAGAGUUUAUUUAUAAGUUUUUUUUUUUUAUAAAAUGUGAGUAAAAUAGAGAUAUUUCUUUUUCUGUGAAGAUUAUCUAGACAUAUACUUUAUAGAAUUUAAUAUAAUGAUAUAAAUUCUAAUUAUAUAUAUAUAAUUAUAAAUAUUAAUAGAAUAUCUGUUGUAAUAACGAUUGUAAAUAUAUAUAUAUAUAUAAUACAAUAAUUUAAUGUAUAAUAAUAUUUAAAAAAAAAACUCUCUCAUUUCCUCUCCCCUUGUAAUGUUCCGAUGGUUGGGGUUAAAUAUAAUAAUCCGAACAAAAAUAAUAAAGCUUUCAGAUUUCUCAAGUUACAUUGGCUUUCUUGACUUAACAUUUGGGCAGUCAAAUCCUUGCCUGAAUCAUCAUCUGGAUACAAAUAAAAUUUUCUUCAAAACAGACCACAAUGUUCUGAGCAUGCUCAUUAUCUUUUUUGCAGCAUCAAUCAAUAGAUUAUCAAUUAUACACAAAGUUUACUGCGUAAAAAACCAAUCUGCAAGUUACUAACAUUGAUAAGCAAUUUACAGCUACAAAAUUAUAUUUACAACUUGAAACGAAUCGAUUGCAUUGAAGGCAAGAGCAAUCCAUGCUCAUAUACUUUUUGAUCAACCUAACGCCUCAACUCUCUGCUAUCAGACUCUUAACUCCCUUUACCAGUAACCAAACCUACAGAUAACUUACUUUGCUACAACAUUAAUCAAUACAAGGUUAUCCAUUACAACAAAUUUUGGUAAAAAUCUAGUCACCUGCCAGGAGCUGAAUGGGAAAACCAAAAAACUGUGAAAACAUUACUAUUUCACAAUGCUAUUCAAAGGUGUUAGAAGGGUUGAUGUUCCAAAAAUUAUAUUUUCCAAUCUGUUCCACCAGAGGCAUAUCAGACCUUUCCUUCAUAUUUGAAAUUCAGUUUGUAAUCAUGUUGCAAAGAUGCUAGUGUGUUUCUGCAAGGACCCUCUGUGAAAACAAUGACAUUGCAAAAAAGUUAGAUCAGAGCCAAGAUGUCCUUUACAUGAAGCAUUUUAAAUCCCGGUAAUCUCAAGAUUGCUUACCUCCAAAAACGGUAUGAAGAUAUUGAAGAUCAUCUGCAGAGCAAGCAUCUAUUAAAGCAUAGACACCUGGUUUAAGAGCUUCAUCUAUCUCCCUGCCAAUUGAUUAAGAAGGAGGUCGGCUUUGUUGUUGCACAAGGUCUAGCAUUUCAUAUCAACAAAACAAAACUCACAAAAGAGAGAAAUAUUAACAUCAUGAUAAUAAAGAUAAAAAGAUGCCUAAUGGCACCUUUUGAUGCCAGACUUAAUGUAACACCCCAGCCCGAACUCCGAAGGUAAAUUUGACUACAACUCACAUAUGCAUUUAAAUAACUCUUUACAACCGAUAAAAUUCGAGCCUCAAAUACAAAAGCCAGCGGAAUAACUUAAAAAUUUAGCCAAAUCAUCUACCAGGAUCAAUUUAAAUCCAUCUUCUCACUCAUCACGAAUCAAUCAUGACUUUUGGAAACUGAAUCACCAUAAACUAUAAUGAGUACAAUACCCAAUAAGCAAACUAGUUUUUCUUAUACGAAAAUACAUACAUACUUAUACAUAAUGCAAUGGAUGAAAUGCCAUGAUCUUUUGGAAAUACUGUAAAACAAAUUUAUCAAAAUCUUUUUCUAUCACUUUCAAACUUUCAUAUUUCCUUUCAAUAAAAUACGUAUCGUGCAAUGUGGCACUUUGUGCUACGUGGCACUUUGACCCAUGCGUGACACUUUGCGGCGCUUUGGCCCUCAAGAGGUGGUCCCCGCAUAGUCUCAAGAGGUAGCUCCCACACAACUUCAAGAGGUGGCCCCCAAUGCAAAAUCUCAUAAAACCGAAAUUUCAUUUGCUAAAAUCCACUUUCUCGUUCAUCAAAAACUCAAUGCAUUUUCGUACUCAUGCCAAUGAAUCAUCACACAUACAUAUGCCCAUAUACAUAAUCACGCUCAAUACAUAACAACACAUCACAUAAACUCAUGGGCAGAGACAUAUAAAUCCACAUUCAUACUUAUCGAAAAUAGGUUUUUCAAACAAGUCAAACAUAUAUAUUGUUUAUCGUGAUUCGUUUAAAAGUCUAGUUUACUUACCUCUUGGCAUCCUCAUGUAACAAAUGCGUACUGAUAUCAUCAACCUAAAAUCAUCAAUAAAUCCUCAUAAGAUAUAAUCAAAUCUCAAUCAUAAACUCUAAUGUCCUUAAAUAUCUCAAUUUAAACAACUGCUAAGCUCAACCUCAAAUGUCCUCAAUAAUUGGCCCUCAAAACAUAACAGUGCAUAUUCUCCGAUUUUUAAUAAAUUAUUCCCUUAUUGGAAGAAUCUCAAAUUUUACAGACCAUAUUCUGACACAUUGAAAGUUCAUUGAUAAAAAUUUCAUAACAUAAUUCCUUCAAAAACUAUUGAAAAUAAUUGAUGUUUCAAACAUCAUUAAUACUGUCAAACAGUUUUCUGUUUUGAACACACUUGCUUUAAAAAUACAAAACAAUUUAUUAUUUUAUCAUAAAAUCAUGGAAAUUUAUAGAAUAAUACUAGACAUAUAUAAAAAUCAUUGGUCCAAAUUUCAUAACUUUGAAGAAGUCUAGUUAUGGUAAAAAUAAUUUCGUAAUUCACGUUAUUCACUGAAAUCAUAAAUUUCUAGGGUUUCAGACUUGACUUUGAAAAAUCAUAAUUAAUUGAAAUCUUAUCCGAUUAACUUGAAACAAGUUUCAAAACAUCCUAGACGAUAUCUAAUUUAAAAUAUCCAAAAAUCAUAAUCAAAAUCAAUUUGUAAAAAUUACUAUGAUUUUCGUAAUAAUUCAUUGUCAGCAUAUUUCUACAAAAUCUUAGAUUUUUACUUCUAUUUUAAUCAUGCUUCUCCACAACAAUUUAAUAGAAACCAAUAAUUAAGACUUACCUCGAAAACUUCUCCCAACAAUUACAAUUUGAUCCCAUGUGUUGCCUAUGGCAGAACUAAGAAGAAGAAGAAGAAGACUUUCUUCUUCUCUUUUUCUUUUCUUUUCUUUUCUCUCCAUCUCUCUCUCUCUCUCUCUCUCUCUCUCUCUCUUCUUUUCCUUCCUGUCAUUUUUUUUAAACCGAUUUCUCUUUCCCCCUCUCUUAUAAUGGGGAAAGACAUUUUUUUCUAUUUAUACUAGGGUAAAAAGGAUUACUAAAAACUAAAAAGACUUUAUUUGAGGCUAGAUUUCUUAAGCAUAAUCAAUUAGAUUAAUUUUGUUGCUUAACAUGAGGUUAUCGGAGAGAGUAGAUCUUUAGGGUAGGGAGUAAUCGCCUAUAGCUAGAAAUUUGAUUUGGACCAUUUUGACCUUUUGGAUGACUUAUGACUACGUGAUAGCUACUUUCAUAGAGGAUUCCUAGUAUCAACAUACCAUAAGUUAGUGAUUGCUCUUGUUGACAACCUUUAAAUUUGGUCAUCAAUUUUCUCCACUUAUUUAUUACUUUUCAUGUCGGUACGACCUUUAUUUAUGACCUACUUUCCGUCUAAUGUUUUAUUUAUUUAUUUGUUUUAUUCUUAUUCGUCAUGGUUUAGUCGAAGAUGUCACAUAGGGGAGGUGCUAGGCAUGCAUCUAGCUCGAGAGAUGUUUUAGGUAUCACUGAUGAUGCUGACCCAACCUUGCACGAAAUGGCUAACGAAGGAAAUCCUAUGAUGCAUGCAAUGGUUAGAUUGAUGGAACAACAAAGUAAGUUGAUUCAAGAUAUGGCUAGAGGUAGAGUUGGGGCACAUGAGAAUGUGCCAGCUGAAAGACCAGGUGGUGGAAGAGAUCAUGGAGCUAUGAUGAGCUUAGAGCGAUUUAGGAAAUUGGGACCACCUACUUUUCAGGGGACUGCCGAUCCUAUGGUUGCAGAGGUAUGGCUAAAACAGAUGGAGAAGAUAUUAGUGGCUAUGGGUUGUAAUGAUGAUCAGAGGGCGAUAUUGGCCUCAUUUGUCCUUCAGGGCGAGGCAGACCACUGGUGGGAUGCUAAAUCUCGUCUUUUAAGGGUGGGGUUGCAAGAUGCACCUAUUACUUGGGAGUUAUUUUUGGAGGCUUUUCGUGAAAAAUAUCUUCCUAAACGAGUUUUCUUAUGAAAUUUAUAUUUCUGAAAACUAGACAUGUAGGGCUUCUUGAAUAAAUUUUAUUUCAUUAAAUUUGACUUCGUUUUCAAUUUUAUACGUACUUUCGAAAUAGACACCAGUGCACUGGAAAACUGCGAUUUUAGCAAUGCGAUAAGAUUUAGAAAUUUAUUUGUACUAUCAAAUAAACUCUAAAAAUUCUGAAAUUUUAUAUAGAAGUUAAUAUAUGUGUCUGGUAUUCCAUAAUUUUCUAAUUAGUAUUUUAUUUUAUAAAAAUCUCAGAACCCAUUCUGUUAGGUUAAGGUACUGUGAAAAUAGUUUCGAAUUUGUCGAGAAAUAAAUAGUUUUGAAAAUGUUUUUGAUAUCGGAUCCUCUUGAAAAUUUUACAUGGGGUACUCAUGGAUGUCCAGAAUAGUUCCAUAGAAUAUUAUGUCAUUAUGAGUUUGAGAUUAAGAGUUAAAAUUCUGGGAAUCAGACAUGUACGAGUACGAAUUAGAAAAUCAUAUUCUUAGAAUAAGUUAUUGAUAGUCAUAUUUUGUAUUUGUUUAAGGUAUUGGAGGUGUUUAAGGCUCUUAGAGGCUUUGAGGUGUGUAGUUCAAAUUCUUUUGUCGAGUUAAGUAACUUCAUUCCUAAUAAACUGGAUAUGUAUAAGUAUUUUGAUAUUAUUAUUAUAAGUAUAAAUGUUUUUAUACUACUUAAAAGAUUAAUGGAUUUUCAUAACAAAAUUAGCUUAUGAAAAUGUUUUCAAAACCUAAAUUCUUUUUAACAAAGUAUUUUAUAAAUGCUUUUAAAUAUGUAAAUUAUUUUAUGACAUGACUACCUUUUAUGAUUUUAUCUAUAAAAUAUUUUGCAAGCCUAAAUUGUUGUUAUGGACAUUUAUGAAACUGAUACGAAUGUUUUGUGCCUAUAUAUGAUUUAAUUAUUUAUGAUUGUACGGGGGCCACCUCUUGGGACUAUAUGGGGGCCACCUCUUGAAGGCCAAAGCGUCACAAAGUGCCAUAUAUAGUGCAAAGCGCCACGUAUAAGUCAUUAUGUUUUGGCUCAAUGUCCGUAGUUAUUCUGAUUCUGAUUCUGAUCGUAUAAUACGAUAUAUAUAUGUUCUGAACCAGUGCUGAAUUUCUGUUCUGAGUGUGUGUUGUGCAAAUUUUAAUGUACUCGCAAGCGCACGAAUCUAUUGUAGUAUAGACUAAUGGUGACGAGUGUCGAUCCCACGAGGAGGUGGAUUUUAAUUAUGUGUAGAAUUAGUUUUGUAAAUGGGUGGUUGGAUUUGUGGUGGAAAUGAUUUGGAAUAUGCUAAAACUUAAAUUAAAAUGGCGAGAAUAAAUUCUAAAAUUGGAAUUGAAAUUACAAGAAUAAAUUGAAGAGAAUUCUAUUGAAAUGACGUACUUGGGUAUCUGGAUCCGUAUCAACAUGCAUCAUGGGCUAAAUAAUCCGUAUUAAUGCCAAUUAAAUCAUGAGGGGAGAAUCCAUACCUCAUGAACCACGCUCUAAUCAAUAUGGUGCUAAGGGCUUAUCGUGCCAAAUAAUAAUAACCUUGUACUAGAGGGCUGGUGAAACCAAGGCGGUACUAGACAAUAUUAGUAUUAUUUGUCGACGAGAAGUCAAAACAUCCACAAAAACUAGAGGGGAAGAGAAAAUAAAUUUACCAAAUAAAGCCCAUGACACAUGUUGAGACUUCACCUUCAACCCAAGCUUGAAAGAAAAUUAGCCACUCAUAAUUGAACUAGGGGCAAAAUGGGAAUUUAUUAAAAUACAUAGAAAAUACAAGAUAGAGAGGGAAUCACAGAAAAUGGAGUCCAAAAAUGGAUUCAGAGAUAUCAAAUUAGGGGGGAGAGGCCCUCUUUUUAUAGAUACAUGGAGUAAAUCAUGGCCAUCGGAUUAAAAACAGUUUGGACGCUCAGGAUUGCUCCACGUCAUCAGUCAACAGUACGCGGUUUGACCACGUGGAUGAACAGUAACACGGUUUGACCCGGAUGAACAGUAACGCGGUUUGAUUGAAAAUAAUCCUGUGUGAUGCAUGUACCGUACGCGAGAUUUUUCGUCCACUGAUAUGCUGCCACGUCACCAUCAACAAUACAUAAGAAUUUUAGCCCAACAGGAUCGUGACACCUCAUCAGUCAAUGCCACAUCAUCGGUCAAUGCCACGUCAUCGGUCCGUCUAUGUGAACAGUGUCGUGAACAGUACCGUACACGUGAAUAGUACCGUACAUGUGAAUAGUGUCAUUUUUCUUUUUAUGCUCCUCCUAAGGUUUUCGACCGUCCCGAGUUCAAAAGUGAUGUCCGUUUUGCCGUCUGAUCUCUCCUUUAUUGUGAAAUGACUAUAAUGCCCCUAAAAUACAUAAAAUACUUAAUUAAAAUAAAACACAUGUAAUUAAAUCACAAGAAGGUUAAAUACAUAAAAGUAAAGGUUGUUAGUAAGAAUUGAAAUGUAAAAUGACGGUUUUCUCCUUUAUAAAUAUGCAUUUUCUAACACUCAACAGUGUGCACACGAUAUUCUGAUUCUGUUUCUGGCCAGGUCACCGGGACUAUAGGUGACACUAUGUGACAUGAGCUAACAUUUUGUUUUCUGUGAAUGUGAUAUAUGAUUUGCUUUCACAAGUAACUAUGCUUUUGAUAUUCUGAGAUAUAAUGAAUUUAUGUUAUUUUAUCGUGAUAUAUCGUUUUGUAGAAUUUAUGGAUUACGAUAUAUGUUUUAAAUAAAAGAAGGCUUGCAAUAUUUUUGGUAUCGAUAGGCCUAGUGGUUUUACUUACCAAGUUGACAGCUCACCCCUCGUCAUUACUUUUUGCAGAUCAAGUUCCUUAUUAAAGGUGUGCUUAGCUUUGAAGUUAGAGAUUUCGUUUCCGUUUGCUAUUUGAAUAAGAAGAGGAAUACACUCAUGUUUCUUUUUAGUUUAUUUUUGUUAUGAACUUGUAAUUUGGAAUUUGAGACUUUUGUUAUUGAUAUGUUUCGGGAGAGAUUAUUUAGUAUUAGACGUAUGAAUUUGUGGAUUUAUUUGAAUAAGAAUUUGAGGUACUUUGGUUUGGAAUUUAUGAGUAAGGAUUACGAUUUGUAAGUAACCACCUUCUUCACAUGCUCCAUACGUGUUACAUUUGAGGUGUUACAAAUAGUAUUAGAACGAUUCCCAACCGAAAAUGUGUGGAUGUUUAUGAGAUCCUACAUCGCUUGGGAAGGAUUUUGUAAGGAUGAAUAGAACUAGGUCUGUGCCAAACCUUUAGGCUUUGUGAUUUUGUUUCUAAGAAGCAUAUGAUUGAAGUAUCAAAGUAGCGCAACGAAAGCGUGAUUUGUUUGCUUAAGUCUUGUAAGGAUUUAUUGGUCAUAAGUGACUUUGAUAUAUGGAUUCUUUUGGGCAUAACAAAAAAAAAGUGAAUUUCGAGACGAAAUUCUUUUAAGGGGGGAAGAGUGUAAUACCUCAAAUCUCCUAAGGGUAUUUAAGUCUUUUUAGUUUUUAGUAAUCUUUUUUACCCUAGUAUAAAUAAAAUAAGAUGUCUUUCCCCAUUAUAAGAGAGAGGGAAAGAGAAAUCGGUUAAAAAAAAAAGACAAGAAGGAAAAGAAAGAGAGAGAGAGAGAGAGAGAGAUGGAGAGAAAAAAGAAAAAAGAAAAGAAAAAGAUAAGAAGAAAAUCUUCUUCUUCUUCUUCUUCUUCUUCUUCUUAGUUCUGUCAUAGGCAAAACAUGGGAUCAAGUUGUUAUUGUUGGGAGAAUUUUUGGAGGUAAGUCUUAAUUAUUGGUUUCUAUUAAAUUGUUGUGGAGAAGCAUGAUUGCAAUAGAAGUAAAAACCUAAGAUUUUGCAUAAAUAUGCUAACAGUGAAUUAUUACGAAAAUCAUAGUAAUUGUUACAAAUUGAUUUUGAUUCUAAUUUUUUGAGUAUGCUAAACUAGACAUCCUCUAGGAUGUUUUGAAACUUGUUUCAAGUUAAUUAGAUAAGAUUUCAAUUAAUUAUGAUUUUUCAAAGUCAAGUCUGAAAACCUGGAAAUUUAUGAUUUCAGUGAAUAACAUGAAUUACGAAAUUAUUUUUACCAUAGCUAGAAUUCUUCCAAAGUUAUGAAAUUUGGACCAAUGAUGUUUAUAUAUGAAUAGUAUGAUUCUGUAAUUUUUCAUGAUUUUAUGAUAAAGUAAUAAAUUGCUUUGUAUUUUUAAAGCAAGUGUGUUCAAAAUAGAAAAAUGUUUGACAGUAUUGAUAAUGUCUUAAACGUCAAUUAUUUUCAAUCGUUUUUUAAGGAAUUAUGUUAUGCAAUUUUUAUCAAUGAACUUUCAAUGUGUUAGAAUAUGGUCUCUUAAAUUUGAGAUUCUUCCAAUAAGGGAAUAAUUUAUUAAAAAUCAGAGAAUAUGGAUUGUUAUGUUUUGAGGGCCGAUUAUUGAGGACAUUUGAGGUUGAGCUUAGCAGUUGCUUAAAUUGAGAUAUUUAAGGACAUUAGAGUUUAUGAUUGAGAUUUGAUUAUAUCUUAUAAGGAUUUAUUGAUGAUUUUAGAUUGAUGAUAUCAGUACACAUUUGUUACAUAAGGAUGCCAAAAAGGUAAGUAAACUAUACUUUUAAACGAAUCACGAUAAACAAUAUAUAUGUUUGACUUGUUUGAAAAACAUAUUUUCAAUAAGUACGAAUGUGGAUUUAUAUGUCUCUGCCCAUGUGUUUAUGUGAUGUGUUGUUAUGUAUUGAACGUGAUUAUGUACAUGGGCAUAUGUAUGUGUGAUGAUUCAUUGGCAUGAGCAUGACAAUGCAUUGAGUUUUCUAUAAAAGAGAAACUGGAUUUUAGCAAAUGAAAUUUCAAUUUUAUGAGAUUUUGCAUUGGGGGCCACAUCUUGAAGCUGUGUGGGGGCCACCUCUUGAGACUAUGCGGGGACCACCUCUUGAGGGCUAAAGCACCGCAAAGUGUCACACAUGGUGCAUUGUGUCACGUACAGCACAGAGUGCCACAUUACAGGAUACGUAUUUUAUUGAAAGGAAAUAUGAAAGUUUGAAAGCGACAAAAAAAGAUUUUGAUGAAUUUUUUCUACAGUAUUUCCAAAAGAUCAUGGCAUAUCAUCAAUUGCAUUAUCUAUAAGUAUGUAUGUAUUUUCGUAUAAGAAAAACUAGUUUGCUUACUAGGUCUUGUACUCAUUAUAGUUUAUUGUGAUUCAGUGUCCAGAAGUCAAGAUUGGUUUAUGAUGAGUGAGAAUAUGAAUUUGAAUUGAUCAUGGUAGAUGAUUUGGCUAAAUUUUUAAGUUAUUCUGCUGACUUUUGUAUUUGAGGCUCGAAUUUUAUCGGUUGUAAAAAGUUAUUUAAAUUCAUAUGUGAGUUAUAGUCAGAUUUGCCUUCGGAGUUCGGGCUUGGGUGUUACACUUAAGGGAACCACACCCUGGAUAAAUCCAUAUGUAAUUGGAUAAGAACUUGAAAGAAUGAUGGCCAAAGACAACUUUUUGCUGUCUUAACUGAAAAAUACAUAGAAGGAAUUGUAAAUUCAGUAAUCCAGUGUCAUUGCUUCUUGUUUUUGAAAUCAACAUCACAUUAAUGCCAAAUAAAACUAGGCAGAACUUGACUAUCAAGAAGUAAGAAGGUGGAGGAACAUAAGUAGCUUGUCCUCCUUGGCACCUUCUACAUCCAAGAAAUGCCUAUCCAAAAUGGCAGCAAAGUAGCUUUGUUUAAAAAUAUAUAUACAUAUUUGCCAAAGCAACAUCACUCACCUCUUUAUAAAUCAUUCGUAGAAAACAAGCACAUUUUACACCCUCCUGUACUUUCCAAGAAAAAUAACCUUUUCUGACCACCCAAUCAGUAUCCACUGUCUCCAAGCAAUAAAGAAGAACACGUACAGAUUCUUCAAGUAGAGCAAUGCACCGUUUAGACUAACUGAAAUUUACACGAUAAAUAAGAACAGUGUUGUUGAUGCUGAAAUCUGGUCGCCCUAGACCCGACUAGAUCGACCCACCAACGGUUGUACUAACAGCAAUGAGGACACUGCACUUCAAUACCUUCUACAGCCAUACAAGCUCCAGGGAUGCAAAUCAACCAUUUUCCUCCUUCAAGACCUGCGCUCACAAAAAUAAAUCAGAGGCGCCGGUGGAUUUUCCGAUGAAAACCCUCUGACGCUUAAGUUAGUAUGUAGAGUUUUUGGGAAAAAAGUGUAAUUUAAGCUUGUGUUCGCUCAUAACGAUGUUCUAAAAAAAGAUGUAAGAAAAACUUAAAGUCUGAUGUUAUUUUGAUAGAGUUUUCCCUCUCUUUUUUUUCUUGUCCCUUUCUCAAUUGACUUCUCAGCUUUUAUAGGCAAUCAUACCACUCUCUUAGAGCAUUUUCCAUGCCCGUAAUACUCAGGUGAUCAUGGGCCUCAACGAGUCUUCAACCACCGAACGUGUGUAAGCGUGAGACGUCGAGUUCUUCCCAGCGAUUUAGGGCGCGGCAAAACUGUUGCGUGGGUGUGAGAUCGUGCCUUCUCUUUGAGUGACAAGCACUUGGUCGGCAUGAGCUUCUGGUUGGUAUUCAUUUCUGGUCGAUUCGUGUUCCAUAAAGGCUAUACUACCAGGUAUCUGUUCAUAACACUCAGCAGAGGCAAUUCGCCCCUUGGAAGGAAGUGGGGAGUGGCCUAACUGGUAUUUUUUUAUUACUCAACAAGUGUAUAGUACCUAAAUUUUGGAGAGGAUGGGAGGGGAGACAGGGGAUUGGGGAGGGGGAAGAUCCUGAAAGUUAAAUAAAGACAUUACAAAGAAUAUGCAAGGCAUCCAAGAAUAAGAAAAUCAACAAUUUCAAAAAGGAGAUUACCACAUAUUUGGUAAGACGUUUACCAAGAAAGACAUUAAACUAGGAAACAGAUGAAUCCACAAAGAAAAUGCAAAUCUUUCAGUUCCUCAAUUGGCUAACCUAGUCUACCAAAUGAAAUAAAAAACUUGACAACCAUUGAAAUCAAGCCAAACUAUCACUUAUAACAUCCUCAUUCCUACUAAGGACACCUUAAAGUCUUUUGCGCCUUGGAUUUAGUCAAAACCUAUACAAAAUGAGGUCAUUACAGGAAGUAUCUAGUGUAGGUACCUUUUUCAAUGCAGCAAAAUGAAGAGACAAAUAAUCAUUUGUUUAUCAAUUGUACAACAGAGCCAAGAAUUUGUGGGGUUAGUCUGGGUUCUUGUGACUCCUUGCUUGCAAAGAAUACAUCUACUUUUCUGAAGGGAAAAAAGCUAAAACUCUUGGAAAGUAUGCAGUUCUGGCUCUAAUUUGAACUAAGGCAAGGUAGAAUAACCCAUAUUUUAAAAAUAGAAGAGGGGAAUAUAUCAGUUGUAUGUAUUAUGUAGGAUAAUUUGUCAUUUUACUUCACUUUGAUCCUGGGUCUCAAAAUAAUUUUAGGAUACAUUUUUUUCUUUAUUCAACUCAAGUAGGGAUGAUUCUCGGUUAAUCUAAUUUAUUUUUCUCCUGGCACAUGGUUGUUUUACAUCUUGGUUUUACACACAAAAAGAUUUUAUAUGAGCUCUUUUUCCAAAUACUGUUUUACAGGGUUCUUUCAAGCUUCUAGGUGAGCAUCAGGUCCACAAAUUUAUCUUCUUUCUGUUGAUCAAUAUAAAUCCUUUAGUUUGUAAUUUGGAAAAAGAAAAAUGAUUUUCUUAAAAGAAAAGACGUAUUAUAGUAUCAAUGACUUGAAACCAUUGCAGAGGUAUAGGCUAUAGAUAGAAUUAUGCAAGGGUUUGGCCUUAGAUAUUAACUGGCAGCUUUGGUAUCAAACAGACAAUAAAAGCUAAUACAUAGAUAGCACAAGAAUGUUAAACGUAUCCUCAGAUAACCCACUGUUAUAAAUGCAGUUAUCUUGCAUAUUGAAGGGCUUACUAAAACUUGUAGAAUCUCCUUGUUGCCACUCCUUUAUAGCCUCUUAAGUUUUUCAAUUCUAUAUAAUGAGGAAUAACUGCUGAUUUAACAAGAUAUUUAAGCUUAGUUUUCUUCUUUUCCCCACUUUUUUGUCGUGAUAAAUAGUAUCUAACUCCUGACAUUAUGAAACACAAUAACCUUGUAAAAUAUGGACUGAAAUGAGGAGGCCGAACUUACCUUUUGUGAUGCUUCAGAAGGGUAUAUAGUAGCCUGCAGUAUUGUGCAAAUAGGUUUAUUGAGAAUUGUCGAUCCACAGCAAUGGAAUUCUGGCUUGCCACAGUAUCACUAUUUUGGUCAUUCGAAAAUAUUACAGAAUUGGAUGGAACUGGAGUCUCUGAAAUGCUAAGCUGACGGAUGUCUUCAAAAAGUGCCGCAGGAACAUGUAAAGAUUGUGCUACAUGCCAUGAAUCCAUCUGAAACAAAGCAUGCUUUCCAGAAACUCUUGUCAGUACCUCAAUGCACAUAAGAAUUACCGAACUUGGAUCUGGAAUAUUUUCCCUCCCACAGCUAAUUUGUUUCUCAUACAAAAUUAUCGAACUCUGCAAGUGCACAAUAAUGUUGAACAAAGCAGCGAUCAAGUUCUGAAUGUGCCUUUUUACCACAUUUAGCCGCUUGCGACCUAUAACACAAACAAAUGGUCAAAACAAAAAUGUAUUGAACUAUUGAUUAAUAUACAAAAGAAUUGAUAAAAAAGAUGAAGAAAAAUAAGAAAAGGAAAAAACUUCAAUAGUAUCAUUCUAGGCUGAGUAACAUUGAGCAAGUCGAACAUGUACUUUCUUAUAGCUAUUCAAACUCUACUUAAAAAUUUUAUAACUAGAGAUGACAAAGAACUUUAUGAAAAGUCACAAAGAAUAUAAAUCACCAUUUGGGUUUAUAAUGGCAUCUGGUCUUUUUGGUCUUUUGUUUUUUUUAUUUUUUUGGAUGUCACAUAAAAUUCAAUGCCUAUUACACUAUAACUUUGCUAUUACAACCUUUUGUAUAUACCUCUUUGUUAAUGCAAGUGUAGUAACUUCAGUAAACAGAGGGGUGGUAAUGUAUUACUAUUGUAUCUAAAGUGAAUGCAUUAAGUCUUAUGCGCUAAAUGAGUUGAAUUUUUUUAUGCUAGAUUUUACCAUUUAACAUUGUGAAAUCUGUAAGUAUAACUACAUGCAUCUUAAAAUGAUCUCUAUCAAAAACUACUACUGUUGAUGUGAGAUUUUGGUUUCUGCUCGUGCACAACCAGGAUCUUUCCUCAACUCUCGAACUCUCAGCCAACUGCAGAUUCUUCUCGUAACUCUUCUCACCGAGCAUAACAACAUCUCGUAUGACUUCAAUUUCAGCAGACUCCUGCGCAUUCAGAAAUUGGUCAAAGCACGCCGAGAGUUUCUCUGACGUAAAUCCUCCGACGCUCAAGUCAGAAAAUUCGGUUUACUUUUUUAGGAAACUGGGCCACCGAUCUCGUGGCUAUUUUUCGGUCCUUUAAAUAGUAAAAAUGCCUCUGAGCUUUUCUCUUCUUUUUCCCUUAAAAUGCUUUUUCUUAGAUUUUAAUAUGAAAAUGUUUAACUUGUUUACCUUUGUUGAUUACCUUUUUAUAGCCUUCCUGUGAAUCUGAUCCCCAUGAUUCAUGCCCAUCACUUUUCCCAACUCACGAAAGUGGAUGCUUGAAUGUCGUAAUUGUAGCUGAGUGGGUUUCGUGCCUAGAUUCUCGGAUAGGAGUGCGCGUUUCGUUAACCGCUAUAAACUGGGCCUGGUGACCUCAAUCUUCAGCAGGGAAAGUUGUCGACUCCUUGCAGGAGACCAUCUCGUCCUCGUGGUCUAGCAAAAAGUUCCUUCUCGUGGAUAUCUGCUACCAAACUUCACCCAUCUGCUCACUUGUAAGGAGGCUGACUCCUCGUCCAGGGUAUGGCUGGUCUCGUCGUUAUAAAUCCCCCAAAUACUGGUCCCCCAAUUUUUGGUAUUUGCAAUGCAAUGGAUUAAUACUAGAAAAUUGAUUAGUCUGGGCUUUCUCGAGGCACAUUUGACUUGGCUGUAAGAAAUGAGGAUAUUGCUCACUCCCGCUUAGUCGUUUCUCAUUUUGCCACUAGCAGGCUGCUUCCUAGAAGAGUCAUUUCGCAAUUAAAUGCAGAAGAAGUGGCAGGAAUCCAUUCACCCGUUUGAAUUUCAAAUUGACAGUUGUGGAACUCUCGGAGUGCGUGCCAUGUGAAUGGCAAUAAACCGAAAGCAUCACCGUCACUUCAAAUCCCUAACUCUCUAAAGUGUUCUUUUCAUCAUUCAUUUCUUUCACAUCCUCCGACGGCUGAUGAUCCACUCCUCUCCAAAAUUCAAACUACCGUUCUUAUUUUCGUUCUGGUGCUUCACUGCUUCGGGUACUGUUUUCUUCUUCCCAACUUUGGAUUUUUAUUAUUAUUUUGAGUGAGGUUCAGGUUUUUCAUUUCGGAUAGAGUUUAGGGAAUGUCAAAAGGCAAAGAAAAAGUGAUUGAGGUUGACGAUGACGAGUUAAACUUCUUGCCUGGUCUACUCGCUGACCCAGCCUUUGACCCUGAGAUCCCUUUAGAGUCGAUUAGAUCUAGUGUUAGAACUAGUGCUAGGAGAAUGUUGUUGAGUGUUAGAAAAUACAUAUUUAUAAAGGAGAAAACCGUCAUUUUACAUUUUAAGUCUUACUAACAACCCUUACUUUUAUGUAUUUAACCUUCUUGUGAUGUAAUUACGUGUGUGUUAUUUUAAUUAAGUAUUUUAUGUAUUUUAGGGGCAUUAUAGUCAUUUCAAAAUAAAGGAGAGAUCAGACGGCAAAACGGACAUCACUUUUGAACUCAGGACGGUCGAAAACCUUAGGAGGAGCAUAAAAGGAAAAAUGGCACUAUUCACAUGUACGGUACUAUUCACGUAUACGGUACUGUCUACGUUACUGUUCACGACACUAUUCACAUAGACGGAUCGAUGACGUGGCAUUGACCGAUGAUGUGGCAUUGACUGAUGAGGUGUCACGAUCCUGUUGGACUAAAAUUCUUAUGUACUGUUGAUGGUGACGUGGCAGCAUAUCAGUGGACGAAAAAUCUCGCGUACGGUGCAUGCAUCACACAGGAUUAUUUUCAACCAAACCGCGUUACUGUUCAUCCGGGUCAAACUGUGUUACUGUUCAUCCGCGUGGUCAAACCGUGGACUGUUGACUGAUGACGUGGCGCAAUCCUGAGCGUCCAAACUGUUUUUAAUCCGAUGGCCAUGAUUUACUCCAUGUAUCUAUAAAAAGGGGGCCUCCCCCCCCUAAUUUGAUAGCUCUGAAUCCAUUUUUGGGAUCCAUUUUCUGUAAUUCCUUCUCCAUCUUGUAUUUUCUUUAUAUUUUAAUAAAUUUCCUUUUUGCCCCUAGUUCAAUUAUGAGUAGCUAAUUUCUUUUCAAGCUUGGGUUGAAGGUGAAGUCUCAACAUGUGUCAUGGGCUUUAUUUGGUAAAUUUAUUUUCUUUUCCCCUCUAGUUUUUGUGGAUGAUUUGACUUAUCGUCGACAAAUAAUACUGAUCUUGUCUAGAUACCGCCUUGGUUACACCGGCUCUCUAGUAUAAGGUUAUUAUUAUUUGGCACGAUAAGCCCUUAGCACCAUAUUGAUUAGAGCGUGGUUCAUGAGGUGUGGAUUCCCCCCUCAUGAUUUAAUUGGCAUUAAUAUGGAUUAUUUAGCCCAUGAUGCAUGUUGAUACGGAUCCAGAUACCCAAGUACCUCAUUUCAAUAGAUUUCGCUUCAACUUAUUCUCGCCAUUGCAAUUCCAAUUUUAGAAUUUAUUAUCGCAAUUUCAAUUCCAAUUUUAGGAUAAUUUAAAUCACUUCCACCACAAUUCCAACCACCCAUUUUGCAAAAUUAAUUCUAUACACAAUUAAAAUCCACCUCCUCGUGGGAUCGACACUCGUCACCAUUGAUCUACACUACAAUAGAUUCGUGCGCUUGCGAGUUCAUUAAAAUUUGCACAACAAAUGUCUCCUCAAAUAACCUCCUCACCCAGCAAUAGCGGCGAUGAGGGAUCUUCUGGUUCGGAAGAUACUCUGAGCGAGGAUCCGGGUGAAGAUUCUGGUGAAAUGUCUUCACCAGGAGUAUCGCGAUUAGAUAAGAAAAGCAAAGUAGGGGGCAGACCUCUAUCAGAGCAUUACGCUAUUGACUUUAUGACAUGUAUGGCCAAAACAGAAGACCUUGUUGAACUCCGAACUGUGUAUGACAUUCCUAAUGGUAUACCCCUUAGAGUUUCAGGGAGAAAAGACACUCCCAGCCGACCUCCCCGAGGGUAUGUUACUCUAUUUCCAGAAAGCUUCAAGUUUGGGAUGAGGCUCCCCUUACAACCCUAUUUCGUCCAGAUGCUUAGUGGAUUAAACUUGGCUCCUGGUCAACUUAACCCUAACGGGUGGAAGGUACUUUCUAGUCUGUUCAUUUUGUGGGACAAAUGCUGCCAGAGUGAGCUCACGGUUGACGAAGUCAAACACUUGUACUAGCUAAAGAGUAGCCCCAAUGACACCGGCCGGUACUACUUCAUGUCGAGUACUAAGACCAGGAAGCCCAUAAUUUAUCUUCUAACAGGUGGUGGUAGGAAUUAGAAGAGAAAAUUCUUUUUUGCUGGGGGUCCCUAGGGUCAAGUUGCACAUAUUGAUAGGAAGAACUAUCACGUCCCCUCUCGUUUCGUGAUUUCAGGUUGUCUGCUUGCUUUAGAUGUCUUGUACCCCUAGUUGUUCUAAUGGUUGAUUUAUCUCUAACACAAUUUUUGUUCGAACUGCAGGUUCCUGGGGUGUCCACUACAAGCUUGAACCUGACCCACUCAAGCGGGUCGAGACUGUGUUAGUCAAUUUCUGCUCGAGUAAAGAAUUGCUAUCCACUUACAAUUUCUUAGAAUCUCGCCUGGUACCCAAUGAUCUCAAGAUAGAGGACACUGUGAUCGGGGUUUUGAAUCGGAAACGUCAUCGACCCCAUGCUGCUAAGCGAGACCACAAUAAGGAUGCUCCCCCUGGGAAACGGGUAAACAUCGCGGAGCAGGUCCCCCCUUGAAGACCCUGCCACAUCUUCCUCCCAAGACUGGUGAAACUAGUAGGACUGCUAGUGGCGCUGAUCCCACUUCUCCGCCUCUACCUACAGGCCUAAAACCUCGUCUGCCCGAUAAUCGACCAGAGCUGGUCCCUUACAUCAGUGAGUUUUCUAGGCUCGUGAGCAAAAACGAUUUGGAGGAAUUUGAUGGCAGCACUCUAGGUGAGCUGGUCGGGGCUAUACAGUUCAGUGCCUUUCAUCUCGGUUGUAUGGCCACUUAUUAUAAGGCGAAGGUCAUCCGUUAUGACCGAAAGAUGAAAAAAUACCUUCAGUCAGCCAGAAACAAAGUUGACGCUGCCGAGAAGAAAGCUAGAGAUCUCAACCUCGAGAAUCUGAAAUUGAUAGAGCGGGAGUCUCUCGCGCAGGCAAAAGCUAUCACUCUUGAGGAGGAGCUAACUAAGGUUAAAGAGGACUUGCAUAUACAAAGAGCUACCUACGAAGCUCAGCUCGAAUCCCUCAAGACUUCUCACCAGAUUCAAGUCAAAAAUUUAGAGAGGGAAGUUGACAAUCAGUACGACCAGGGGCUUCGGCAUUCUUACUGCUGGUGUAGCUGAAUAUAUGGACGAGGAGGCAGCCAAAGAAUAUGGUGAAGAGGCGGAACCAAAUGCCACCGAGGAGGCAACCUCCCCUCCUCGUGCAGCUCCUACUGAUGUUGCCGAGGCAAGUAUCCCCCAGGCUCAACUGGUGAGACCCCUCAUGUUCCUGAAGUGGACCAACCGGUGAAGAUGGUUGUGCUUACUGAUGCCCCGUCCUCUUAAUUCUAUUUUGCGUUAUAUACUUCUUUUUGGGACGUUGUAUGUUGAGAAUAUUAGUUCUUUACUAUUUUUGGAAAAUUAAUAAAACUCCUCAGUUUGUUUACUUUGUUUUUCACUUUUUUCUUUAAUAUCGAGCAAAUCCUAGCAUGCUGGGCUUUCAGUCUCGUUAUUGAACAAGUUUUGAGAUUUUGGAGCUUUUGUGUGCCUUGGAAACUUUUUAUAACUUUUGGUAGUCUACUCACCUUCUUAUGGUUGAGCAGAUUCUGGCAUGCUUGGCUUUCUAUCACGCCAUAAAACAGGCUAUGAUACUUAUGGAGCCUUUGCAUGCCUUCGACAUGUUUUAGAACUUUGAUGGUCUGUUCACCUUCGCUUGGUCGAGCAGAUCCUGGCAUGUUUGGCUUUCUAUCUCGGCAUAAAAUAGGCUUUGAGACUUUGCAUACCUUAAAAACUUUUUAGAACUUUGAUGGUAUGCUCGCCUUCGCUUGGUCGAGCAGAUCCUGGCAUAUUUGGCUUCAUGUCUCGCAAUAAAACAAGUUUUGAGACUUUGAAGCAUUUGCGUGCCUUAGAAACUUUUUGCUUGUGUAAUAUGACAACUGAAUGAAAUUCCUCAAUCUUUUAUUAAUUACUGAAUUCGGCUUACAUGUAAUUGACUAAGUAUAAAACAAAUAACAACAAGGAUGAACAUAAAUAAUUCUAAAGCAUAAUUGGGUCUUACUGGAAGUAUUUCCUUAGAUGCACUGCGUUCCAAUGUCAUUUCACCUCGUGGCCGUCUGCGCGAACGAGCUUAUAGGCUCCGGGUCCAGCCAUCUGCUUGACUCUGAGGGCCCUUCCCAGUUAGGGCUGAGUACUCCUUAUGUCGACUCUUUCAUGCUUUAAUUCACCCUCCUAAGUACCCAAUCGCCGACCUUGAACUGUCGUAUACGCACUUUCUGGUUGUAAUAACGAGCAACCCUCUGCUAGUAGGCAGCUAAUCGCUUCGAUGCUUGUUCCCUCUUUUCGGUCAGCAGAUCCAGAUUUAAGCACAUCUGAUCAUUGUUUUCUUGCUCAUCGAAGUGAUCAGUCCGGUGCGUGGUCGCUCCUAUCUCCACGGGAACAAUAGCUUUAUGUCCGAAGGCCAAAGCGAAUAGAAUUUCGCCGGUUGCUGUUUUAUGGGUUGUCUUGUAUGCCCAUAACACACCUGGUAGCUCAUCAACCCAUGCUCUUUUCUUUGCUCCCAGCCUGGUUUUCAAAAGCCUCUUGAUAACCUUGUUGGCUGCUUCUACUUGUCCGUUAGACUAAGGGUGAGCAGGCGAGCAAAACUUCAGCUCCAUCCUAAGGUUCUGGCAGAAGUCCCUGAAGUUAUAGUUGUCAAACUGCCUGCCAUUGUCUGCUAUCAGAGUAUAAGAUAUCUUGUAUCGGUAGACCAGGUUUCUCCAUAUGAAGUCAGUCGUCUUUUUCUCUGUGAUCCUACUGAGGGCUUCUACCUCUACCCACUUUGUGAAAUAGUUUAUCGCUACUAUUGCAAUGUUACAGCCCCUCGUCCCUUCAGCAACGGUCCAAUUAGAUCGAUUUCCCAUUGAGCAAAUAGCCAUGGCGAGGCCGUAUAAAUGAGCUUCUCCAGUGGUUGGAUAGAGAAAUUUGUAAAACUCUAGCAACUCAUGCAAUUCCUAGUUUUCUCUUGUGCGUCCUGGUGCAUCGUCGGCCAGAAAUAUCCAUGCCUAAGAGCUUUGUGGGCAAGGGAUCUAGCGCCAGAAUGGUUUCCGCAAACUCCUUCAUGUACUUCUCUAAGUACGUAAUCUGUGUCGUCCUCGUCCAAACAUCGAAGGAACGGUAGAGUAUACCCCCGCCGAUAUAACACCCCAUUAAUCAUUGUGUACCUCGACGUUUGAGCUCUGAUCUUCCGAGCUCGUAACUUAUCUGGUGAUAACACCCCAUCUCUGAUGUACGAGAUUAUCGGGUCCAUCCAUGAGCAUUUCUAUUCUAUCCGCAGCACCUCCAAAUUCUGCCCGAUACGGGGCUGAACUUCACCUCCAAAGGGACCGACUUAGGCAUUUUUUAAUAUGCUACAGCUACCAUUCUAGCCAGAAUGUCCACUCGACUAUUCUCCUCCCUUGGGAUUUGUAUCACCUCAACUACCUCAAACUUCCCAACUAUUUGCGUGACUUUCUUCAAGUACUGUUCCAUCUUCCCAUCUCUCGGCUAAAACCUUUUACUGACAUGAUUAGCAACCAGUUGGAAAUCAGUUCGAAUUUUCACCCUAUCCGCCUUCACUGCCUUUGCCAAUUCCAAGCCUGCUAUUAGAGCUUCGUAUUCUGCCUAGUUGUUUGUGGCAAUGAACUCUAACUUUACAGCAUAAGAGAUCUAUUCCCCUUCUAGGCCUUCUAAAAUAAUCCCUACUCUAGACCCCUGCUUCCCUGAUGAUCCAUCCACCGACACCUGCUAGACUCGAUCCUCGUUGUUGACUGUAACAGCAUCCAGCUGGUCGAGACCUACUUCGGGCUCUGUGAAUUCUGCCACGAAAUCUGCCAUUGCCUGGACCUUUAUUGCUGCUCAGGAUUUAUAAAUUAUAUCGAACUCGCUCAGCUCUAUGGCCCAUUUCACUAGCCGACUAGAAGCAUCCGGCUUGUGUAGAGCCCACCGCAACGGUUGGUUUGUUAAUACCGAGACGGAAAAUACUUGAAAGUAUGGUCUCAGCUUUCGAGCAACAACUAAAAGAGCAAGUGCCCAUUUCUCCAACGGUGGGUAUCUGGUCUCGGCAUCGAGCAGGGCCUUGCUUGUUUAAUAUAUCGGAUACUGAACCCCUUCUUCCUCUCUCACUAAAACAGAGCUCAUAGUAUGAUUCGAUACCGCCAUAUAUAGGAACAGCACGUCCUCCUCCCGCGGUAUGGACAACAAAGGUGCUCGGUGCAAAUAUUGUUUCAAAUUCUGGAAGGCUUCUUCACAUUCGGGGGUCCAUUCUAUUUUCCUUCAUCUCCUUAUCACUUGGAAAAAUGCCUGGCACUUAUCUGUCGCCUUGGAUAUGAACCGACUCAGUGCCGCCAACUUCACCGUAAAGCUCUGUAUCUCCUUCAAGUUACAAAGAGAUCUCAUCUGCACGAUUGUCUGGAUCUUCUCGGGAUUCACCUCGAUCCCUCGAUGACUCACCAUGAAUCCAAGGAAUUUUCCCGACUCGACCCCAAAGGCACAUUUCUCCGGGUUGAGCUCAAAAGCCCAAAAUGUCUCCUCGAGGUGCUCGACAUAUUCGUUCAGGUUUUUUGACUUAGUUAUCAUGUCGUCCACAUACACCUCCAUUGUUCUUCCAAUCAACGACUUAAAGAUUCUGUUCACCAACCUCUGGUAUAUGGCACCUGCAUUUUUAAGAUCAAACGGCAUUACCCUGUAACAGAACAAACCCUAGUUAGCGAUAAAUGUCGUGCUCUCCUUAUCCCGCUCGAACAUUGGGAUUUGGUUGUAUCCCGAAAAUGCAUCCAUGAAGCUAAAUUGGCCAUGCCCGACUGUUGAGUCAACCAGCUGAUCGAUCUUGGGUAGAGAAAAAUUGUCUUUCGGGCACGCCUUGUUGAGGUCAGUGAAAUCUACACACAUCCUCCAUUUACCAUUAUCAUUUUUUACUAAAACCACAUUUGAUAUCCAUUUAGUGUAGUUGACUUCCUGAAUGAACCCUACCUUCAAGAGCUUCUCCACCUCGCCAUUUAUAGCUUCAUACCUCUCCUGGUUGAAGCAACUUCUUUUUUGCCUUACCGACCGAGCACCCUUCCUUAUUGCCAACCUAUGGCAGGCCACCUCAGGGUCAAUUCUCGGCAUGUCUUCAUAUGUCCAAGCAAACACAUCUACGUGAGCCCGCAGACAAUACACCAGCUCCUGCUUCUGCUCUUCCUUAAGCCUCGACCCAAUUCAAAUUGUUUUUCCUUAAUCACCUUGUUCCAAGCUUACUAUUUCCAUCUCCUCAACCGGCUCUUGUCUGCCAUCUUUGACUUCCACUCGAGUAUUAAGCGAUAUGAUCUGCAUUACUUCCAUUGCUGUUGUGGAGUAACAGCUUCGGGCAAUCCUUUGGUCUCCUUGUACCACUCUCACUACUCCAUUCACCCGAUACUUGAGAACUAAGUAAUGAUUAGAGAGCAUUGCCUUGCUCAUCCUCAAGAAGGGGCGGCCUAAAAUCAUCUAGUUAAGACUCCCUUCAUCGACAACUAAAAAAUUCAGGAUCAUAGUUUUUUAUGUCGGAGAGCUGCCUAUUAUGAUUGGGCAGCUCGACUAUGCCUAAGGGAACUAACUUUCCUCCAUCAAACCCCUUCAAGGAGGUAUUAGUGUGCUCCAACCUCAAGUCUGCUAUUUCCAUCUCCUCCAUAGUCAAUUUGAACAGAACAUUGACUGAGCUUCUCGUGUCUACCGAGAUCCGAUCAAACUUCUUGCUGACAGUAGUGGCUUUAAUGACUAAGGCAUCCUCAUGUGGAUAUAGAAUACCCUCUUCAUCCUCAUCUGUCCACAUGAUCGAUACUUGCAUGAUUCUUGCUCGCUUGGCUGCUGGGGUACUGAAGAACACCUCUUUGCUAGUCAUGGCAUACCUAGCGUAGUUCUUCCUCGAUCUACUGGAGUCUCCUGCCAACGUUGGACCCCCAACAAUUACCCAUACCAUCAGUGAUUGGUGGCUCAUGUUUUUGUUACUCUGCUCCCCUUCACAUGAAGAACCCACCAUCAGGAUAGCCCCAUCUACAAACUCGUCCAGGUAAUGAUUUCUCACUAAAUCUUCAACAUGAGUCUUGAGAUCCCUACAUUCGAUUGUGGUAUGACUGUGGGUUCCAUAAAACUUGCAAUACCGUCCCUUAUCUCUUUUGUUGGGCAGCUUUGUUAUUGGGGCAGGGGAAUAAAGUAAUCCCCGGUCCUUUAUGGUCUCAUACACCUAGUCCAUGGGUAUUUUCAAAGAGGUACACCCCUCAUAGCUUUGGCUCUGCUCGAUCAUAUGCACUGCCCUUUCCCUAUGGGUGCCGUUCUGAGCUAGAGGGGGCAGCGGUGCUUCUGGUCUGCUUCCUCUACCACCGUGUGGGUGUGGAUAAGGAUGACUAAAUUUCUGGUCAUGCCUUCUCUAGAAAUGUAUGGUCAUGCCUUCUCUAGGAAUCUCUGGUUGGUGAACAAGGAGGUUGCAUCCUGCUGCACUGAUAUUGGGGUGGCCUCUGAUGAGGCUCAUAAGAGGUGACCCGGCCUCUUGUACCACUGCCUGAGGCAUGGUGGUCCUUCCUCUUAAUCGGCCCGUUUCCUGGUUGAGCUCUCUUUUCUUUCCUCCUCAACCCUUCCAGUUGGUAUGUCUUAAUAUGUGCUGUCUUUUCUCCUUAAUUUCUAUGUCUCUUUUGGCCUGCUCGUAAGCGGCAAAAUAUGUCUGAAAGACUGGACUCCUUAAAUUGUACCACAUCCGUCCUAUCUUCACCCUUUCUUUCAGUCCCCUCAAUGUCUGGGGAUGGUUGAAGGCCCCCAAAUUGAGGACAGCGCGAUAGAACCUUUUGAUGAACUCCCGAAGGGUUUCAUCCUCUCAUUGCUUCAUGCUUGCCAGUUCUAUCACAUCAUCUUCGGGUGUCAUUGCCCCCCGAAACUGCUCCGCAAAUUCCAGGCAUAUCUGCUCGAACGACUUAAUGCUCCUUCGAGGAAGCUUCCGGUACCACUCACGUGCUCGUCCCUCUAACAACAGCGGAAACACCCUGUACCUUUGUGCCUGAGAUAAUCUAUGCACCUCAGUUAUAUCAUUAAAGUGCUCUAUGUGUACCAACGGAUCGGUUCGCCCUGAGUACUUGAGGUCUGGAAAGCGAAAAUCCCUCGAGAUGACUGUACUCAUAAUUUCUGCAGAGAGGGGCGAUUCACCAUCCAGCAUUAUCCUCCAACCAGGUGCUCUGCUCUUUUCUUGCAUGUCAUCUAUUAUCUCUGCUAGUCUAGGCACUUCUUCCUCUAGUUGUAUAGCUCAACCAGGGUCACGUGCUGCAACCUGAUCUUAUUCUUGCUCGACGACAUGCAGGUGUUGCCGGAGUUCCUUUUUCUCUGCAUUCCCAACUCCAUAAUCAUUGUCAAAGCCCUGCCUCUCAUGGGAUUGAUCUCCUCCCCCCUGACUUUCUCCCCGUAAAGAUCGGUUGCCCAUUUCACCACCAAAUCCCCUGGUGGUCCUUGUUAGCCUAUAUGGCUAAAUAUUGAUUUUGAUGAUAACAAACCACAUGUAUUUAUUAAGCAAAGAUUUAUGAAUUGUGCUUUUAUAAUAAGAAAAUGAUGUUAUGAAAUUAAAGUAUUUUGGACUAAAAUGAAAGUAUUUUUAAAAUCUUUGAUAGUGUUUUUAAAUUUCGGAUUUGGACCUAUUUGAAACUAUUUAAAUGUUUUUGAGCCAUUAUAUAAUUUCACAAAGUUUGGGCGAAGUCAUAAUUACAGAAAGUUGUGGGAUUGACAAAGCAUUAUUCUAAAAUUCUGAAAUUGGACCUUUUUGCAAACUUUCAUAACGUUUUGGGACACACUACAGUUUUAUAAAGUUUUGAGGUCAAACUAUAAAUUUAGGAAAAUAUUCACUGUAGCAGUUACUGUAGCAAGCGGAAAUCCGGAUCCUGACAAACAGAAAUCCGAUUGUUGGGCAGUAAGCUACUGAGCAUAAGCGGAAAUCCGGAUGUGACAAAGCGGCAAUCCGGAUGUUCAGAAAUUCAAAAUUGUGGCUGUAACGGUAACAUUAAGCGGAAUUCCGGAUGUCCAUAACCGGUAAUCCGGUUACGACCAAAAUGUGCAUAACGGCUAGUUUUUGAGCUCAAACUAUAAGAACUCAAAUCCAACUCAUUUUCAAUCUCUCCAACAAGCAAAAACAAAAAGCACACGUGAUAUCUUGAGCUUACAACUUGCAAAACACAAAACAUUGAAUCAUCAAUUGUUCUUCAUCUUUGAAUAUCUACUCAUUGAGUGAGUUUGAUUGUAACUUUCAUUUCUUCAUUUCAUUUGUAAGAGUUUGAGUGUGUGAGAUACUUGAGUGAAGAGAUUGGGAGAUAAUCUCUUUGUUAUAAAGGUUUAUUGACACCUCGAAGUCAAUUGUAAUCGGUUGAAGCCUCAAAAAGGCUUGGAUAGUGAAAUCGUCAAGCUUGGAUUGCUUGGAGGCGUGGAUGUAGGCGGGGAUUGCCGAACCACGUAAAAAUUCGUGUGUUUGUUUCUCUUCUCCCUUACUCUUUAAUUAUUGUGCCUUUAUUAAACUUAUUGCUUUCAAUUUUUAUUAAGGCAUUAGAUUGCUUGUUGUGUGGAUUUGCUAGGUUAAUUUUUAAAUUUCCAAUUCACCCCCCUCUUGGGUUGCACACUUAUAUUUCAGUCCUACCUUUCAUCACGUCGUUGUUCCUUCUGCCAACAUGCCCUAAUGUCAUUCUACCACUUCUCCUCCCCUCCUCUUAAAUUCCCCUUCGCUUAUUUUGCAUACUGAAGGGCUUAAUAAAGCUUGUAGAAUCUCCUUGUUGCCACUCUUUUAUAGCCUCCUAUGUUUUCCAAGUCUAUAUAAUGAGGAAUAACUGCUAAUUUAAUAAGAUAUUUUAGCCUAGUCCUCUUCUUUUACCCACUUUUUGGUCGUGAUAAACAAUAUCUAACUCCUUACAUUAUGAAACACAAUAACCUUGUAAAAUAUGGACUGAAAUGAGGAGGCUGAACUUACCUUUUGUGAUGCUUCAAAACGGUAUAUAGUAGCCUGCAGCAUGCUGCAAACAGGUUUAUCGAGAAUUGUCGAUCCACAGCAAUGGAAUUCUGGCUUGCCACAAUAUCACUAUUUUGGUCAUCCGAAAAUAUUACAGAAUUGGAUGGAACUGGAGCCUCUGAAAUGCUAAGCUGAUGGAUGUCUUGAAAAAUUGCCACAGGAACAUGUAAAGAUUGUGCUACAUGCCAUGAAUCCAUCUGAAACAGAGCAUGAUUUCCAGAAACUCUUGUCAGUACCUCAAUGCACAUAAGAAUUACCGAACCUAGAUCUGGAAUAUUUUCCCUCCCACAGCUAAUUUGUUUCUCGUACAAAAUUAUCGGACUCUGCAAGUGCACAAUAAUGUUGAACAAAGCAGCGAUCAAGUUCUGAAUGUGCCUUUUUACCACAUUUAGCCGCUUGUGAUCUAUAACACAAACAAAUGGUCAAAACAAAAAUGUAUUGAACUAUUGAUUAAUAUACAAAAGAACUGAUAAAAAGAUGAAAAAGAAAAAAAGAAAAAAUUUCAAUAGAAUCAUUCUGGGAUGAGCAGCAUUGAGCAAGUCGGACAUGUACUUUCUUAUAGAUAUUCAAACUCUACUUAAAAAAUUUAAAUACUUCACAUUUGCAUAACUAGAAAUGACAAAGAACUUUAUGAAAAGUCACAAAGAAUAGAAACCAGCACUUGGGAUUACAAUGGCAUCUGGACUUUUUUUUUUUUUUUUUUUUUUUUUGGGAUGUCACAUAAAAUUCAAUGCGCAUUACAUUAUAACUUUUCUGUUACAACCUUUUGUAAAUACCUCUUUGUUGAUGCAAUUGCAGUAACUUCAGUAAACAGAGGGGUGUUAAUGAAUGUAAUACUAUUACCAUCCUUUUUUUUUUGGGGCCCCGAAAAGGUAGGCCCAAAUAUAAUUUAUAACCCCCUCCUUCCCCAGUCCCCCAGGAGGAAUGUAUUACUACUGUAUCUAAAGUGAAUGCAUUAUGUCCUAUGCGCUAAAUGAGUUGAAUUUUUUAUGAUAGAUUUUACCAUUUAACAUUGUGAAAUCUGUAAGUAUAACUACAUGCAGCUUAAAAUGAUCUCUAUCGAAAACUACUACCAGAAGCAGAAUGGACUAAUCAAAGAUGCUUUAGAUUAUUUAAUAAGAUGAAUCCAUCUCUAUAUUAAUCAAUGAUCUUGAUAUAUGCACUAAUCUAACAUUACCUUGAGCAUAUUCUAUAAUUAGAUCCAAGCAGUCAAUACCAGCUGCAACGGUUGAAGAAACCUUGCCACCAUCUCCACUUCCAGUACUUAUUUGGUAUAUCGUUGUGUUGCCUUCCUGCACUCCCACUAGUGCUCUCUCUAUAGCUUGUACAGCAGACAAAAGAUGUAGAUAUGAUGGUUUCUGUAUGAGCACUUUAAAAGACAUCCUCAACCUUGAUUUAAAAUCAUCCAGCCAGUGGGGUCCAUGAGAAAAAGACACUUCGGAUAAGCCUACACUCUCAUCGAGUAUCUUAGUGCUAGACUCUCUCUCACGUGGUGCUAAAGUAGCUUUCUUACCCAGCAAAUGGGACCCACGGCCUGUUGCCGAGGGUCCGGUUGUGGGUAGCAGAGGAUUUUAUUCCAGAGGAAGAAGAAGAUACGGAGAAUGUUGCCGAGGAAUACCUGAAAGAGCUUAUCGACCGAAGCAUGAUUCAAAUAGCUGAAAGAUAUUUGGAUAAGGUCAAGACAUGUCGGAGCCAUGAUUUGAUACGAGAACUUGCAAUCAAGAAAGACAUGUGGGAUGCGUUUGAUGCGAGGAAUUUGAUUGAUCUUCAAGAGUUGGAGAUACGUGAGAUACCUUAUACAAAUAUGAAUUUCAUAUUGCAAGUGAAUAGCCUUCGGAGUUUAACAUAGCAAACAGGCACAGGCUUUAAUACGUUGCUUCCCCUUUCUCGUUGUCUGAAUCUCGUCAAACUGAAGUUGGAAGGAAAAAUCAAUAUUCUACCCAGAAGUAGUGAUGAGUUUCCACCAAAUCUUUCUGUCCUGGUCUUAUAUGGUUCAUUGCUCAAGGAAGACUCUAUACCAAUAUUGGAAAUGUUGUCGAGCCUAACAAUUCUUCACCUGGGAAAUGAUUCCUUCUCUGGAAAGAAAAUGGUCUUCUCCAUGGCAGGUUUUCCUCAACUCCAAGUUCUAAGACUUUCUUGGUUGCGCUUGUUAGAGACAUUAGUGGUGGAGUCUGAAGCUAUGCCUAGACUCAAAUAUUUCAGCAUUGAAGACUGCAACAACCAAUGGAUGGUCCCAGAAAGAUUGAGAAUGCUCCCGCUCCCCCAAGAAUGGUGAUACCACACUAUAUGCUUGUUCUGUGAGUCAUCUGACACUUACUUUCAUGUAGACAACUUUUAUAUUCUCUAGAGUAUGCCUUUUUUUUUUAAUAAAUCUAUAUAUAAUAUUUUCACUCUGAGAUAUAUUGUAAUUGUUUGUCUUCAUCUACUCAUGUUCCCUUGUUAUUCUUGAAUUGCAAAUGUUUGCAUAUAGUUUCCAUUUGCAGAAAAGCGUGCAUAGAUUAAAGUAUCCAUGCUUAAGUAGUUCAUUAAUUUUCUACAAUGUGCUAGCUUUGAGCUUACUUUACAGAACAUUCUGGUGGUUUUUUAUGUAAUCGGUGUUCUUCGACAAUCAUAGGGAUGGCAAAAUCUUCUAUGGGUUUGGGGCUCCACCCUAAAUGAUGUGAAUUUCGAAUAAUUUUUGGCAAAUGAGAGAAAAAUAAUCUUCAAAUUCUUAAUGGGUUAGGGUUUAGUUUUGUACUCCCCACCCCACCCCAAUUCCCAUUAUAUAUAAAUAUUUUUUUUUAAUUUUUUUUUAAUAAUUUUUGUUUUAUCAGUUACAAUGUUAGUUAAUAAUUUUUUUCUUACUUGACAUAAAUAGACUAUGACUAAAAGAAAACCCUACAAUAUAAUUUUUACUUAACUUAAAACAUUGUUAUAUUUUAUUUUCUCUCUUAAGAUAUUGUUUUCUUCAAAUAUUUUUUAAUUUUAAUAUUAUUUCAACAUUUGGAGAUUUUUUUAAAAUAAUUUAAAUAUUUUAUAAUGCGGUAAUGAUUUUAUUUAACUCUUUAAUUUUUAAUUUAUUGAAAUUAUGUAUCUAUAUCUACUAUAAAAUAAAUAAAUAGAGAAUAAAGUGAGGACGAAGAAAUCAUUUUUCAAGUAGGAAUUUCUCAUCACCACUCCACUAAAUUUAUUAGGAAAUGGGGUGAGGAAUGUGGUAGGCCUCCCAACCCCAUUACCAUCCCUAUCAUGCUUACGCAAAUUUAUUUCCAGUCAAUACAUUGAGCAAUUGACUAGCUAUUGAUGCCUAAAUGCAGCCAGCGCAUGAUUUUGAUUCUCCUAUGAUUAAAUAUCCUCUAGUUCAAUUAGAGCAAUUUGUCAUCUUUUCUGUUUUCAACUUCUUAUUUAGAACUAUAUAUAUAGUAUAUUUGAAUCUCAAUUUUUGUGCCAAUGUCAUUGGUUGUAAUAUCAUGCAACAUGAUAAGUAUUCAGUGCUGAGUUGAAUUUUUAUUGAUUACUAAAUCAAUGGUUGUUAGACAAGAUAAAUGAAAAAAUAAUAAUCUAAAAUAAUUUUUAUCAUUAAUUCAGUACUUAGUAAAAACUUAAUUCAACACUGAAUCCUAAUCCCAUACAAAAAAAUUUCAGACAAAAAUCAAAUGCAUCGGAAUGGAGCUUAACAUGAAUACCAAAUAAAAAAUUUAUUGAAGACGAAAAAAAAAAAAUCUCAUUUACCAGAUUACUUUUCUUCACUUCUGUUUUUUUGUACUUCACUUCAAAAAGCCUAAUGAUCUGGCAAUGCCAUGCAAUGACAUCUGAUUUCAAGCAUUUAAUAUGGCAUCAAACACUUGAGUGAGCAUAAAUCCAAAGCAAAAGUUUCCCCAGUGAGUGUCUACACUCAAAGCAUUUAUUCCAAAUUAAACUUCCUAUGAAAGCACUUUGAGCCUUGAACCUCGUAUAUUAAGCACUUAGUACAAAGAGAAGCAAGCAAAACAAUGGAGUGGUUCUAUCCCAGAAGAAGAAGAGGACCAGAGUGGAAACAAGGCUGGACAGGCCAAACCUUGGCCUCGGUAUCUUCACCACCACCAGCAUUACUCACAAUUUUUGGGAUUGUUAUUAUUUUAUUCUGGCUAUCUCGUUACACAGGCCUCAAGGCUCAGUUGCACGUCACAGCAAUCAACCUUCAGCUAUUCCUCAUUUUCUUGCCAUUUGUGCUGAUAUUCAUCAUAGCUGCAUAUUCCUCGAGUGGGAGUUCCAGCUUUCGGCUUCCGCGCCUCAACGGCAGUGGAGGAUCAAUGCGGCAGGGACAGGGUGGUGGUGGCAACCCCUGGGGUAUUGCCAUGUUGUUGGUGGUUGUCUUGGUGUUGCUUUCUUAUCAAUCUUCAUUUCAUUCAAAAUGGUUUGGAGGAAGUUAGUAUAUAAGUAGUCUUUUUUUUUUCUUUUUCUUUUUUGGUGAAUGAAAUAUACAAGUAGUUAAAUUCAAAGAAAUAUGAAAAUUAAUAUAUGUAUGAGGUGUUAUUAGAUUUGAUCUUGGAAUCCCUUAAAGUGUUUGUCAAGAAAUGCACAUAGUUCUUUCUGAUAUAUGUAAUGCUUUAUGUAUUGCGUGGCUUUGAAAGGAAGAUAUGUUCUUCAACUAAAAACAUAUUGUAUUUUCAACUUAAAUAUAGAUUAGUUGUGUAUACGAAGCAAAAAUUUAAAAUAAUUUUCCCAUUUUCAGCUAGUUAAUUUAAAUUCAAACUCUAAAUGUAAAGUGUAUUUAUAUCUUCACCCCAUCCUUGAGGUCGAGGUUUUGAGUCGAUGAUUAAUGAAAAUUAAUCCCACAUGCUUCAUGAAUACUAGAGCCACAAAUUGAUUCAUGCAGACAAAGUUUUAGUACCAAAGUCUACCUAACAUUUGCUUUCAUAUAUACACGUUAACAUAAUCUUUGCUUAGAUUAUUCAUUUCCGAAUGAUUACGAGUCCUUGAAAGGGCCAAAAGAAUUUGGAGCGUAGUAGUGGGAUUCUACUUUCUAGCUACCCCACAGGCACUCUGGUCUUGAUGGGUCAUGCAUGGCUGCAAUAAACCAUUGGAUCACCAAGCACGUGGUAGGUUCUAGUUAACUGAAAAUUUGCUUGCCACACUUUAAAACAAUCUUAAUGCUGCCCUGACUCAUAGAGCAGAGACAUCUGAAAUUGACAUUUUUGGACACUUACAACACACAACCAGCCUAGCUAGGGAAAGCUAAUUGGGAAUACUUAGUCAUUGCCAUUUGUGUGAAUCAGGUUUUGGCUAGGACCAAAAGACGUGAUAUGGGUGAUGGAUCUCUUUUGCCUCCAAUAAUAAAUAAUAAUAAUAAUAAUAAUAAUAUCUUGGACUUUAACAUUUUGUGGCCACUAGAAUUUGCCACCCUUUUCAUUUUAUCAAAAGCCACCCACCUACUCCUUUUACUUUUUACAAUUUUCAUUUUCUUUAAUUGACCAUUUUGCUUGAAUCUCAAGUGAAAGUGAGUGAUUGCUUGUUCUUUUGCAACAAUUAUUUUAGUGCUGCGAAACAACAUAGUUUCUCCAAAAAAUUGACGAAAAAGUUUCUCAUCAUUUCCUCAGUUUUCUCAUCAACCAAACAAGGAAAAUAUCAAAACCAACACAAAAAAAAAAAAAAUACACAUAAUGUGCAAAAUGCACUAAUAUCAUUAAACAUAACUCACUCUAUAUAUCAAAACAAAAAGCUUAAAUCAUAACUGUAUAUGAAACAUAUUCUCUGCUAUUUACAACUAUAUAUAUAAACUUGCACUAUUACUUAUAUGUAUUGAUCAAAGUAACAUACCAUUUUAGCAUUACAUACCAUAUGCAUAUACAUAUAGAGUAUCAACCAAACCAGCUAUCAAGAAAUCUAGACUGGUACUGCACAAGAAUGAGCAGCAACACAAUGAAGGCAGCCACACCCCACGGCGAGCUCCCCUCCGACGGCAGGUGGUGACUACGCCGGCGUUUGUCCCAAGGAGACGAGGCAGAGAACAUAUCUGCACUGUCCCAUGAUGAUAGCCAACGAACAAGGAAUAUUAGAAGUACGGGGGUAGCAAAAAGAAUCCAACUCAAUUGUUGUCCAGCACUCUCAACGAUCGACUCGUAGUUGAUGUACGAUGACAUGCCGAGAAAGAUUAACGCCACUGCUAUGAUUAGGAGUACUGGAUAUGGUAACGGACUCAGAGUGAAUGAAUCAAAGAUACUGCUUCUUCUGUACAUCUUCGCAUGUGGUCUUUUGGUUUUUGGUGAUUAAGAGGGUUUGAAGCUUUUAUGUCAAGUUGAGAUGUGGGGAAUUUAUAGCAAGAAAAAGUUGGUGUUUGAUUUGGUGGGUCGCCAACUAGAGAAGUAUGUUGAGUUGGGUGAUUUGUGACCCUUGAGUUCUUGAUUGACU